GUCUACAGCCAUACCACACUGAACGUGCCCGAUCUUGUCUGAUCUCGGAAGCUAAGCAGGGUCGGGCCUGGUUAGUACUUGGAUGGGAGAGCUGAAAUACUGCAUCACUGAAAAAA
ensembl:rRNA 5S_rRNA 5S ribosomal RNA